CGGUUGAAGUUCAUUUUUUGUGAGUGGCAGACGGGUGAGUAAUGCAUAAGUAAUCUGCCUCUAAGUUUGGGAUAACCUUCUGAAAAGAUGGCUAAUACCGAAUAAUCUUAUUCUUCAUAAGAAGAAUAAGCAAAGGUCCGCCGCUUAGAGAUGAGCUUAUGUCUGAUUAGCUAGUUGGUGGGGUAAGAGCCUACCAAGGCUACGAUCAGUAGCUGGUCUGAGAGGAUGAUCAGCCACACUGGAACUGAGACACGGUCCAGACUCC
rnacentral:rRNA from 1 species